GAGGGGAUGGGGGAGGUCUCAGGUCCUCUUGCUCACCCAUCAGCUGUGUAGUGUCUGAAGUGAUUAAGGAGCUUGGGGAGGCCUCCCAGGCUGGUCUGCUCCACUGGCCCUCAGAAAGACUUGUCGCCUCGCCGAGCCUCAGUGUUCUCAUCUGAAGAAUAGAGUGGGCAAGGCCUUUCUCCUACACACUCAGAGCCCUGAAUGGGAAGAAAUGGGUUCCAUGUGCAGCAAGCCAGGAGAGAUUUAGGCAACGAGAACCUCCAGUUCUGUCUUAGGGUUCCCAGCUUUCUCCUUGUCCUGAGGGAGCCGCUGAGCCUGUGGGAGAUGAGGGGUGCCCAUUCCCCAGUGCUUCUCACCCUCCCCCACCUGCCCUCCUGGGGUACCUUUGUCUGCCACUUGCAUCCUAUUGGAAGCUGUCCCCAAGUGCGUGUUAGGCAGGUGGCAGGUGCUGGAGCAGAGUGCACCACCCUCCGGCGAUCACUGUGAGUUGGGGUAAGAGUGGGGUGUUCCUGCCAGCCCCAGGAGAGGGGAAAGCAAGCCCCCGUCCACCCUUGUGGGUCUCUGCUCCUGGAAAAGGUGCUCUAGCAGGCUCAUCUGUGUGAGUCACUGUCUUCCAUGUGGGGGUUUCAUUCUGUCACCAAGGCUGGAGUGCAGUGGCGUGAUCUUGGUUCACUGCAACCUCUCCCUCCCGGACUCAAGCCAUCCCCCUGCCUCUGUCUCCUGAGUAGCUGGAAUUAUAGAUGUACACCACCACACCUGACUAGUUUUUUAAUUUUUUGUGAAGACGGAGUUUUGCAGUGUUGCCUGGGCUGGUCUCAACUCCUGGGCUCAAGAAAUCCACCUGCCUCUGCCUCCCAAAGUGCUGGGAUUACAGAUGUGAGCCACCGUGCCAGCCUUAGUUAAUAAUUCUUUACUCUGUUCAAAGAACUGGUGUGGGUAUUGUCUCCUUAUUGAACCUGACUGAUAAUGGACAGGCCUUGAGCCCCCAAGUUGCUGAGGCCCUUAUGAAUGCUGGAAGCCAAGCUUGCACAUUCUAGGCAGCCAUUUGGAAGAUUCUUCUCUGCGCAUGACCAGCUGAAAAGGAAAAACCCCGAAACAUUGGCACUGUGAUUUCUCCAUGUGAACAGUUUAGUUCGCCGAGGUGGACAUGCCUCAUUCAUGCUUAUGGAGUGACCGACCAGCCUUUAGUGACACCCCCUGAAAUGUGAGUCAUCCAUGGGUCACUAGUCAUUGGAGAAGAGCCCCUUAUACAAAACUUGGAGCUCAGACCACAAACAACAACAACAAUCCAAAAAAUAAAAAAAUGAAAAA
rnacentral:lncRNA from 1 species